rnacentral:lncRNA from 1 species
UUGCUCUCUCUCUCUCUCUCUAUAUAUAUAUAUAUAUAUAUAUAAGCUUAAAUAUGUUUCACUACUCUAACUAUAUAUUAAUUUUUUUUAUUUUCAUUCAAUUGAGUCUACCACAUCAGAAAUUACUAAGGUGAUUGUUUGGGUGGGACAUAACUGAGCUUAUGUAUUUCAAAAAAAUAACUUCUCAUUUUGUGAUUAACAAUUUUAAUAUAUUAAAUGGUUAAAUCAUCACACCACUUUCUAUCGAACAUUAACUCUAAUAAAAAAGAAUUAAUACCAAGCCCAAAAUAGCCUUAAUCAAUGGGAUCUCCAGUUUCGCGAUUAUCCUUCCUGCUUGGCAAGUCCUCGUCGUUAUCUCACCGGAUAAUACUCUGUUACCUGUAAAUUCCGGCGAAUUUCUUUGCCUCUCUUCCCUAAAAACGAUGUUUCUCCGGCUCAUCCAUCAGGUGUUUUACCGAAUUUCGAUCGGGCUACGUUUACUUGUGAGCUUCCGAACAGACUCCGCCGCCUGUUACCUUAUCCGCAGCCUGUUUUGGUUAAAUCGCCGGUCGAUAAUUACCAGGCGAGAGUUCCUGCGAGAUUAGUAGAGGUGAUGUCCUUGUGUGUGCUGGAAUUUGGUGUUAUGAUCUGUUGUGGGGGAAUCUGAGUUGGGUUUAUGGUCUGGUGGGAGAGUGAUAGAGAGAGUGGUAGAUUUGACGAAUUUGUCCUUAAAUAUAUAAUAAAUGUAUAAAUAGA